rnacentral:rRNA from 1 species
AUACGGAGGGUGCAAGCGUUAAUCGGAAUUACUGGGCGUAAAGCGUACGUCGGCGGUUCGUUAAGUUAGAUGUGAAAGCCCCGGGCUUAACCUGGCAACUGCAUUUAAAACUGGCGAACUAGAGUUGAGUAGAGGGGAGUGGAAUUUCAGGUGUAGCGGUGAAAUGCGUAGAGAUCUGAAGGAACACCAGUGGCGAAGGCGACUCCCUGGACUCGAACUGACGCUGAGGUACGAAAGCGUGGGUAGCAAACGGGAUUAGAAACCCGAGUAGUCC